AUUGAACGCUGGCGGCAGGCCUAACACAUGCAAGUCGAGCGGAUGAAGGGAGCUUGCUCCUGGAUUCAGCGGCGGACGGGUGAGUAAUGCCUAGGAAUCUGCCUGGUAGUGGGGGAUAACGUCCGGAAACGGGCGCUAAUACCGCAUACGUCCUGAGGGAGAAAGUGGGGGAUCUUCGGACCUCACGCUAUCAGCUGAGCCUAGGUCGGAUUAGCUAGUUGGUGGGGUAAAGGCCUACCAAGGCGACGAUCCGUAACUGGUCUGAGCGGAUGAUCAGUCACACUGAGGCUGAGACGCGGUACAGACUCCUAGGGGAGGCAGCAGUGGGGAAUAUUGGACGAAGGGCGGAAGCCUGCUCCAGCCAUGCCGCGUGUGUGCAGAAGGUCUUCGGAUUGUAAAGCACUUUAAGUUGGGAGGAAGGGCAGUAGGUUAAUACCUGGCUGUUUUGACGUUACCAACAGAAUAAGCACCGGCUAACUACGUG
rnacentral:rRNA from 1 species